ensembl:lncRNA
CCCCGGUGCAGUACAGUGUACAGUUUAGCAGUUACACCCCGGUGCAGUACAGUGUACAGUUUAGCAGUUACACCCCGGUGCAGUACAGUGUACAGUUUAGCCGUCACACCCCGGUGCAGUACAGUGUACAGUUUAGCCGUCACACCCCGGUGCAGUACAGUGUACAGUUUAGCCGUCACACCCCGGUGCAGUACAGUGUACAGUUUAGCCGUUACACCCAGGUGCAGUAGUGUACAGUUUAGCCGUUACACCCCGGUGCAGUACAGUGUACAGUUUAGCCGUUACACCCCGGUGCAGUACAGUGUACAGUUUAGCCGUUACACCCCGGUGCAGUACAGUGUACUGUUUAGCCGUUACACCCCGGUGCAGUACAGUGUACAGUUUAGC